rfam:Aedes albopictus isolate Foshan contig143541, whole genome shotgun sequence.
UACCCAGCAACUCCUAUCCCUACCUCCACGCGGUACCGGCCGGAAACUAUGAGCAACCUUAGGGAAGAUCGGGUAACCAACCCCGGUGGGAACUUUGGUCGUAGGCUGACAGGGAAGG